rnacentral:rRNA from 1 species
AUGACGGGGGCGGCGUCGCAGGCGUACGGGGAGGCGUGGUACUGGGACGAGCGGUACCGCAAGGAGUCGGGGCCCUUCGACUGGUACCAGAAGUACCCCGCCCUGGCGCCGCUGCUUCGCCUCUACGUGCGCCCGCACCAGCGCCUCCUCCUCGUCGGAUGCGGCAACUCCGUUUUUGGUGAAAACAUGGUUCAGGAUGGUUACCAGGACGUUGUCAACAUUGAUAUAUCGUCUGUGGUGAUUGAACAAAUGAAGAAGAAAUACCAUGAUAAGCCUCAACUAAAAUAUACGAAGAUGGAUGUAAGAAACAUGUCAGACUUUGAGUCUGGUUCAUUUGAUGCUGUUAUUGACAAAGGAACACUAGAUUCUAUUAUGUGCGGCCAAAAUUCACAAGAGCAUGCAGCGAAGAUGCUAGGGGAGGUGAACAGAAUCCUCAACGAUAAGGGGGUCUACAUCAUGAUUACUUAUGGGGAUCCAAGUUAUCGAUUGAAUCUUCUGAAGGACCUCCAAUUUUGGACAGUAAAGCUUCACGUCAUAGCAGAUAGGUGGGAGAGAAGUUCCAAAAAGACAUGGGAUCUGACCGAGCCACUGCCUUUACAAGAUGAUAGUACAUCGAUUAUCAACCUUCUUGGCCCAAAACCUGAUGUUCACUAUAUUUAUGUCUGUAUAAAGGACAACGACAGUGCAAGGGUGGACUUGAAGGCCGAGGUCAAUGAAGCAGACAAAUGA